rnacentral:rRNA from 1 species
CUACCAUGCAGUCGAGCGGUAGCACGGGGAGCUUGCUCCUGGGUGACGAGCGGCGGACGGGUGAGUAAUGUCUGGGGAUCUGCCUGAUGGAGGGGGAUAACUACUGGAAACGGUAGCUAAUACCGCAUAACGUCGCAAGACCAAAGAGGGGGACCUUCGGGCCUCUUGCCAUCAGAUGAACCCAGAUGGGAUUAGCUAGUAGGUGGGGUAAUGGCUCACCUAGGCGACGAUCCCUAGCUGGUCUGAGAGGAUGACCAGCCACACUGGAACUGAGACACGGUCCAGACUCCUACGGGAGGCAGCAGUGGGGAAUAUUGCACAAUGGGCGCAAGCCUGAUGCAGCCAUGCCGCGUGUAUGAAGAAGGCCUUCGGGUUGUAAAGUACUUUCAGCGAGGAGGAAGGCAUUAAGGUUAAUAACCUUGGUGAUUGACGUUACUCGCAGAAGAAGCACCGGCUAACUCCGUGCCAGCAGCCGCGGUAAUACGGAGGGUGCAAGCGUUAAUCGGAAUUACUGGGCGUAAAGCGCACGCAGGCGGUUUGUUAAGUCGGAUGUGAAAUCCCCGGGCUCAACCUGGGAACUGCAUUCGAAACUGGCAAGCUUGAGUCUUGUAGAGGGGGGUAGAAUUCCAGGUGUAGCGGUGAAAUGCGUAGAGAUCUGGAGGAAUACCGGUGGCGAAGGCGGCCCCCUGGACAAAGACUGACGCUCAGGUGCGAAAGCGUGGGGGAGCAAACAGGAUUAGAUACCCUGGUAGU